rnacentral:lncRNA from 1 species
UCUGUCUCUCUCUCUCUCUCUAAACUCGGCUCACCCAAACACUCCCACCUUCAUUUUUUUCAGACUUCAAACUCAAGAAAUUCAUAUAAUCAUGGAGGUCCAUGGAUGAUUUAAAGCAUUUGCAAGACUUGGGGACACACUUGAAGCACUUUAUCAAGACUUGAAGCACUUGGAUCUUCAUUUUUUUUUUCUUUAUGUUAUCAUCACCUUCAUCUAGUUCAUCUCAAGCUAGUAACAAAAUGUGAGAGCCAAAUAGAAGCCAGCUAGACAGCAUUGAAGGCUUGGAA